rfam:Asian citrus Psyllid, Diaphorina citri - Florida Strain, whole genome shotgun sequence.
UGGCUUAGUUGGUAGUGCGUCUGCCUUGUAAGCGCUAGGCCGCGGGUUCGAUUCCCGC